rnacentral:rRNA from 1 species
AUUGAACGCUGGCGGCAGGCCUAACACAUGCAAGUCGAACGAGUGGCGGACGGGUGAGUAAUGUCUGGGAAACUGCCUGAUGGAGGGGGAUAACUAAUGGAAAAGGUAGCUAAUACCGCAUACAAUCAGAUGUGCCCAGAUGGGAUGAGCUUGUUGGUGGGGUAAAGGCUCACCAAGGGGACGAUCCCUAGCUGGUAUGAGAGGAUGACCAGCCACACUGGAACUGCGACACGGUCCAGACUCCGACGUGAGGCAGCAGUGGGGAAUAUUGCACAAUGGGCGCAAGCCUGAUGCAGCCAUGCAGCGUGUAUGAAGAAGGCCUCCGGGUUGUAAAGUACUUUCAGCGGGGAGGCGUUACCCGCAGAAGAAGCACCGGCUAACUCCGUGCCAGCCGCCGCGGUAAUUC